GUUUGUCCUCUCUUCAAAACUAUCUGGAUUGCAUAGGUAAAUUUGUAAACUGAACUACUUAGCCUUUCUGCUUGUAAUAGCAUCUACUUACUCUUUGUAAAAUCUGCAAUAGUGCUGUGGAUGGGAUUUUGUUGUAGGCUGGGUGUGAAUUCUUUCUUCUAUCAAGAGAAACAGCCUGAUGUGAAGCUUGCUGGCUUUUGUUUGGACUGCAAGGCUGAUGAACAGACUUUUUAGAAAGAAAGAAGAGAGGUGGGAAACACGUGUGUGUCCAUGAAGAGAAAGAGCAGAGACUACUCAAAAAGGGAAAUGCCCUGAUGCACUAGAGAAAGAAGAAAUGAACCUGCAGACUUUAUUCCUCACUGCAAGAUGACCCAUCUUAGGAAGGUAGAUUUGGCAAAACUGCUCAUCAGACAAUCAGAAUUUGCACUUCCCACCUGCCACAAGCUGGGCCUUGGGCUGGAGAAGUAGCUGCAGGCUGCUGCUCUCCAAAGGAGCUCAGAAAUUGGGGUCUGUCUGCAUCACAGUACCAGGAGUUCAUUUAA